AGGCUGAUCUUGAACUCCUGACUUCAUGAUCUGCCCACCUCAGCCUCCCAAAGUGCUGGGAUUACAGGUGUGAGCCACCAUGCCCGGCAAUGAUUCAUUUCUAAACUCAGCUUGUUAAAAGGUGAGGACUCUUCUAUCUGGACUACACCAAUUGGAUAGAUGUUGAUGCUCGUAUCUGGGCUUGGAACCACAGGAAAGAUUCUGGAUCUUCCUCUUGGACAAAGGUCACAGAGGAUUACCACUCUUGCAUAUUGUAGAAAUCCAUCAAGUGAAACUGUAUCAUAAGAGAACAUAGCACGUGUGUGAGAUUUUGUAUUUUGAAUGCACACCCAGGCAACUGUAAAGAUUGUCAUUCUCCCAUAUAAACACAUCUCACUGUUGAGGUUCUGAAUGUCAGACACAGACUGUCAAAAGUUGAAUAAUUGACUCUCAUGUGGAUCUGGACUAGAGGUGGACUGGUAACUCUCAGAGCAAGAUUCAGCACACAUAUGAGUCUGUGACUCCACUGAAAGGACAAGCCUGCAGAAGAAAUUGUGGCUUUCCUGCCCACAUUCUGUCAACCAUUGAUAUUGUGACUCACAUACUUACACCCAACGUACAGAAAGUGUUGACUCAUACCUAGAAUCUGGACAUAUAUGGAAUUUCUACUCGAAUUCCUGGACUUUUCUGCAGGUGUGAUUGUAUGCAUCCGCUACCCACCUUAGUGAUUUGACUUUCCUGCCUUGGCCCAGCCCACAGAUGAGAUUGUGACAUAUCGCUUGACUCUGCACCUUGAUGGUGCAAUCUCCGCUCACUGCAACCUCUGCCUCCCAGGUUCAAGUGAUUCUUCUGCCUCAGCCUCCUGAGGAGCUGGGAUUAUAGGCACGCACCACCACACCCAACUAAUUUUUGUAUUUUUAGUAGAGACGGGGUUUCACCAUGUUGAUCAGGCUGGUCUCGAACUCCUGACCUUGUGAUCCGCCUGCCUCAGCCUCCCAAAGUCUUGGGAUUACAGGUAUGAGCCACCAUGCCUGGCCUCGCUGGGCCUUUCACCCAGGUGAUGUGAGUUAUUUUUCUUGCAUUGGUACUGCUCACAGGGUGCAUUGUGGCAUAUUUCUAAGCCCUUCACUCAGGUUAUGUGACUACUUUUUUGCUUGUGCCCUAACUAUUUUGCAUGUUAGGACAUAUUACGAGGCCCAACACCUAUAAAAUGAGAGGCUCCUCCCUGGGCCCUGUCUACAGAGGGCCUUGUGACAUAUCUCUGCAUCAAUCACCUAGGAAAUGUGACUCCGUUUUUGCCUGCUCUCUGUCCACAGGAAACAUUGUGACUUAUCACUAGGCCCAGGUACCAGUUGAUGUCUCUGGUAACUGGGCCUUGACCAUGGAGAGGAUUGUUACCUAUUGCUGGGCUCAGCCCCCAUGUGGUGUGAUUAUACUGUCUGUGUCCUGCUUUCAGGAGAAGGCUGUAACAUAUUCCUGGUUGAGUAUUCGGGUGAUGUGGCACUCCUGUGUGGUCCUUGCCUUCAGAAAAGAUUGUGAUGUAUUCCUGGCCAAAAACCCAGGUGAUGUGACUCAUUUCUCCCUAUUCACAGGUAAGAUCGUAAAAUGCCUUGGUCUAGCUCACAGGUGUGAUGAUGUCGAUCCUUUUUUUUUUUUUUUGAGACAGAGUCGCUCUGUCGCCCAGGCUGGAGUGCAGUGGUGUGAUCUCAGCUCACUGCAACCUCUGCCUCUUGGGUUCUAGGGAUUCUCCUGCCUCAGCCUCCUGAAUAGCUGGGAUUACAGGUGCACACCACCAAUCCCAGCUAAUUUUUUUACUUUCUGUAGAGGCAUGGUUUCACCAUGUUGGCCAGGCUGGUCUCGAGCUCUGUACUUCAAGUGAUCUGCCCACCUCAGCCUUGCAAAGUUCUGGGAUUACAGGCAUGAGCCACCGCGCCUGGCCACAAGUGUGAUGAUGACCCUUAUACCUCAACCAGCCAAUAGGAGAGACCCUGUUUCUUAUAGCUAGGCUUAAAAUCAUGAGUAUGUUCAUGGGUCUUGUACGAAGGUCCUAUAGAAAUAGCACUUUCUUUUAUACUAUAUAAAUCUCUUAUCAUACAGAGAUUGCCAUUCCGGGGUUCAGAACACAGGUGAGAUUGUGUUUCUCAUAUGCAUACCCCAGCAAACAUUAAAAUUGUCAUCUUCAUGCAUGGACAGGGCCCACUGGUAAGUCCCGAAUCUCACACAUGGAAAAAAUCCACAGUUGAAAUUGUGACUGUCAUAUAUGAACAUCCGGCCAGAGUUGAAAUGAUGAGUCAUUUCUAAAUCCAGUUUAUAGGCAAGUGAGAAUUUUUCUAUCUGAACCCGAGACAAUAAAAGAUGGUUUUGAAUUAGACAAAAUGGAGCUAAAAGUUCAAACAAGUGGUGAAAGGAUUGUAAAAAUCUUGCAAAGAACUCCAUGUGUGGAUAUACUGACUAAAUUCAAAAAGGUACUACAUGGUUUUUCUGUAAAUAAAAAAUUGAAAUAAAAGCACAACAAGGUACUAGUAAUGCACUAAUCUGCUUUUUAGCAAAAUUUGUUAAAGGUUAUAACAGAUUGUUGCUUCUUUAAAAUUUCAGAGUCAUUGUAACAAAAUAAAUAAUUUACGAUAAUCUGAAAUUCUAUUUUAUGACAUCAAGUGUUUCAAAUCUCUAACACUUAACAUGCUUCCCAAAAUCAAACUUUAGUUUCAAAACUGCCUUUCCUGAUUCCUGGCUUUUGGAUACUUCAGAGGGCCCCUGGAGUAUCCAAAAGAGAGGUAAACAGAAUUAUUUGACAUAUUUAGGUACAUGAGAUUGGCAAAAUGGUGUUUAUUCAAUCUUUAGGUUAUAUUUUGGUGAAUAAUACUAAUAUAUGUUCCAAAAUUGUUUGGGAUUUCUAAAAUUCUAAUAUAUGUUUUCAAUAGUAAUAAAGGUUGUUAUGUUAAGUUAUUG
ensembl:lncRNA